UUACGGCCAAAUCACUUUGAAAUACCGUUUCCCGUACGAUCAUCGAUGUUAAGCAACGUCGAACCUGGUUAAUACCUAGAUGGGUGACAGCUUGGGAAUACCAAGU